GAAUGCCCCGUUUUUCGAAAUGGGUUCUAUUCCCAAACCGUGUAUACAUACCUUUGUUGCUUUGGCAGGCCGCCUUCGGGCGUCGGCUGACGCUGACCGCGCCUGCCAGAGGACCCAAACUCGUUUGUUUAGUGAUGUCUGAGUACUAUAUAAUAGUUAAAACUUUCAACAACGGAUCUCUUGGUUCU
rnacentral:misc_RNA from 1 species